rnacentral:rRNA from 1 species
GAUGAACGCUAGCUACAGGCUUAACACAUGCAAGUCGAGGGGCAGCACGGGGUAGCAAUACCUGGGUGGCGACCGGCGCACGGGUGCGUAACGCGUAUCCAACCUUCCCGUUACUCUUGGAUAGCCUUCCGAAAGGGAGAUUAAUACAGGAUGGUAUCUGAAAUUCGCAUGUUCUUCAGAUUAAAGAUUUAUCGGUAACGGAUGGGGAUGCGUGACAUUAGAUAGUAGGCGGGGUAACGGCCCACCUAGUCUACGAUGUCUAGGGGUUCUGAGAGGAAGGUCCCCCACACUGGAACUGAGACACGGUCCAGACUCCUACGGGAGGCAGCAGUGAGGAAUAUUGGUCAAUGGGCGAGAGCCUGAACCAGCCAAGUAGCGUGAAGGAAGACUGCCCUAUGGGUUGUAAACUUCUUUUGUUUGGGAAUAAAAGACGCUACGUGUAGCGUUGUGCAUGUACCUUACGAAUAAGCAUCGGCUAAUUCCCGUG